CACCCGCCGAGCGGGUGAGCGGAGCAGCCCACCGCGGAACGUCCUAAAUCCACAAACCCGAAGGCACUUACCUCCUGCUACCCGGGACAGGCCUCAUCCGGGACUCGCAAACACAGCCUGCCGGGGAAUGUAGUGCGAUAAUGUUCAACUUCACGGCACUGUGAACUGUGAGAGGAUUGCCAUAAACUUGAUGGAAAUAUGCCCAGCAUGCUGGAAUGAGAAUGAUAUCAUCUGAACUUCAAGCUCCGGAUCUUCAUGCAAAUUUGUCCGCAGAGAAUCAAGUCUUUCCUCCAGUUUAUUCAGCUCUUCUGUCAACCCAUCUUCAGAUAAUCUUGGAUAUUGAAGAGUGAGAAGUUAGCAAAUCCAUGGUUGUUUUUUUCCUCAAUAUUACACUGUCAUUUUGAAGCUCUUGUAUUCAGGCAUUAAGUUUGCUGAAAUGUAAUUCAGACUCCAUCACUCAAAUAAAUAAU